rnacentral:rRNA from 1 species
AUGACCGUGCUAAAUUUUUUUGUCCCUUCUUCUUUGAAGCAAUGGAUUCAGAUAUGGCACUAUGUUGAGUCCUCCAACGAUUCGUCCGACAAGGAUGACUACACAAAUGAAACAGUGAUGAUGCAGGAAAUCCGUACAGACGCGGAGUGUGCGGAGGAGCACGUUCUUGAUAUCAAAGGAUCGGUCAAGGGUCAUCAAGUGCUCAACCGCAACAGUGCACACAACCAUUUGAAGUUAAUGGACGAUUAUGUUGCCCCGGAUGCCCUAUCAUCUGACAAUUUUCACUGGCGCUUUCGGAUGCGAAAAAAGAAUCUCUUUGAUAGUCUCUACCAUGGCGUCCGGUCCUUUGAUGACUACUUCAUCUUGAAGAAGGAUGUCGUAGGAAAGAUUGGAUUCUCUUAUCACCAAAAGUGCAUGGCUGGAUGCGAAUACUUGCAUAUGGCAUGGCCGCAGAUUCGGGGGACAAAUACCUCGGAAUGUCCGAGAGCACAUGCGAAUACACCAUGGUCAGAUUUGCUACUGCAGUGGUCGAGGUGUUUGGACCUUGGUACUUGA